AUCAAGAACAUGAACCAGAGGGAACCCCCAGACUAUUCUCAGGUUGGACCCUGGUCUGAAUAAAGUCAAGCGGAGGAGGUACUUCAGCCUUGGCAGAGUUGUAGGAACAAAAAGUUGUGGGUUUUACAUCCUAAAGGCGUAAGAAUAAGCUGCAUCCUCCAUACCAGGUUGUGCCCUGGUGUGGGAAAAGUCCAACAGCAGCGGUGCUUCAGCCUUAGUACGUGAGUUUGUGGUAAAGGUUUUGGGUGGAAUGAUCAUUUUUUUAACAUGUGUGAGAAUAUAUACCCUCAGGGUGUUUGUAGAUUGGACCCUGGCUUUGGAGUUCCCAGCAGAGGAGAGUUUUCUUGCUGGCUUGGACCCUGGUCUGAAUAAAGUCUAGCCAUGGAGGUACUUCAGUCUUGGCAGGAUGGGGAGCUGCUUUUGAAAACCCUCUGUGGAGGCACUUCAGCCUUGGCCGGUUGGACCCUGGUCUGAAUAAAGUCAAGCGGAGGAGGUACUUCAGCCUUGGCAGAGUUGUAGGAACAAAAUGUAUAAGUUGUGGGUUUCACACCCUAAAGGCUGAAGAAUAAGGUGCAUCCUCCAUACCAGGUUGGACCCUGGUCUGAAUAAAAUCUAGCCAUGGAGGUACUUCAGUCUUGGCAGGAUGGGGAGCUGCUUUUGAAAACCCUCUGUGGAGGCACUUCAGCCUUGGCCGUCUAGCCAUGGAGGUACUUCAGUCUUGGCAGAGUUGUAGGAACAAAAAGUUGUGGGUUUUACAUCCUAAAGGCGUAAGAAUAAGCUGCAUCCUCCAUACUAGGUUGUGCCCUGGUGUGGGAAAAGUCCAACAGCAGCGGUGCUUCAGCCUUAGUACGUGAGUUUGUGGUAAAGGUUUUGGGUGGAAUGAUCAUUUUUUUAACAUGUGUGAGAAUAUAUACCCUCAGGGGGUUUGUAGAUUGGACCCUGGCUUUGGAGUUCCCAGCAGAGGAGAGUUUUCGCUCUUGCUGGGUGAGUGAAGGUCCUGGUUCUAGAGAUAGGGGUGCGAGACAAGAGAUGAAUUGUUUCUAAUGAGUGUGACAAUGAAAUGCUUUAACAAAGAUAUAUCUUUGUUUAUUAGGUUGGACCCUGGUCUGAAUAAAGCCUAGCCAUGGAGGUACCUCAGUCUUGGCAGGUAAGUAGACAAGAUGGUGCUAGUGGUGGGGUAAUUGGUUAGGAUUUAUUUGAGCAUUCUUCUGCCUGAGCAUCCCUGGUGAGAAAAGUCAGCAGUAGGUGGCUUUGGAAGAUUGAGCCUUGGUUUGGGGAAAGUCCUUCUGCAGAAGACGCCAUGAGUAGCAAUGCUCACAGCAGCAGAAUUUAUAUUUACAGGUUGUGACUAUCUGCUCACAGAGGCACUUACGCCUUAGAGGUGAGUAGGGGGGCAGAUACUUGUGUGGCACAGGGCAUUGUUGAUGCUGGAUGUCUGUUUUAUAUAUUGGGCCUUGGUUUAGUAAUUGUCCCGUGGCCACUGUGGUUCUUCACUUUUGGUAGGAGAGUGGAGCAAUAGUACUUGCUUGUGGGGUUCACGUGAUGUUGUUUUUAUUAGCACCUUUAUUUUGAGUAAGUGAGGCCUUUUUUUAGUCUGGCCAUGGUGGCUUUUUAGCCAUUUUAGGUGAGUGGGGAUGCUGAAGCUUUUGGUAGCUGGUCAUAUGGGUAAUCCAGUGGUUUAGGUGUACAAAGGUACGAUCUCUUACCUAUGUAUCUUUCUUUUACAGGUUGGGAAAGUUCAGCCUUUGCUAUACAUGAAUGGGCUACUUUAGCCUAGGUUUGUCUAUAACAGGUUGUACAGCGAAUUGCAGAGGUGUCUCUUAUACAAGUCUGUUGGGGAUAAGUGUGUCAGAGAAGAAAUCAGAUCAUUAGUGGCUGAGUGGGGAUGCACAUGGUAUAGAGUGAUAGCUUUUUGGGGGGAGAGCCCUUUCAGGUGAGUGGGGGUUUCUGGUACUCCCGGUAGGUGCCUUAGUUAGGGGGUUUGAUUUCUUUUGAGAUGCAUAGGGAUGUGCUUCAGCCUAGGCUUCUUUAUUUUACAGGUUGGUUUGGGAGAAGUCCAGGCUGCAGAUCUGCUUCAACAUUGGCAGAAAGCUGAGGAUGCUGGUUCUUGUGGUUGGACCCUGGUCUGAAUAAAGUCAAGCGGAGGAGGUACUUCAGCCUUGGCAGAGUUGUAGGAACAAAAAGUUGUGGGUUUUACAUCCUAAAGGCGUAAGAAUAAGCUGCAUCCUCCAUACCAGGUUGUGCCCUGGUGUGGGAAAAGUCCAACAGCAGCGGUGCUUCAGCCUUAGUACGUGAGUUUGUGGUAAAGGUUUUGGGUGGAAUGAUCAUUUUUUUAACAUGUGUGAGAAUAUAUACCCUCAGGGUGUUUUGUAGAUUGGACCCUGGCUUUGGAGUUCCCAGCAGAGGAGAGUUUUCUUGCUGAGUUGGACCCUGGUCUGAAUAAAGUCUAGCCAUGGAGGUACUUCAGUCUUGGCAGGAUGGGGAGCUGCUUUUGAAAACCCUCUGUGGAGGCACUUCAGCCUUGGCCGGUUGGACCCUGGUCUGAAUAAAGUCAAGCGGAGGAGGUACUUCAGCCUUGGCAGAGUUGUAGGAACAAAAAGUUGUGGGUUUUACAUCCUAAAGGCGUAAGAAUAAGCUGCAUCCUCCAUACUAGGUUGUGCCCUGGUGUGGGAAAAGUCCAACAGCAGCGGUGCUUCAGCCUUAGUACGUGAGUUUGUGGUAAAGGUUUUGGGUGGAAUGAUCAUUUUUUUAACAUGUGUGAGAAUAUAUACCCUCAGGGGGUUUGUAGAUUGGACCAUGGCUUUGGAGUUCCCAGCAGAGGAGAGUUUUCGCUCUUGCUGGGUGAGUGAAGGUCCUGGUUCUAGAGAUAGGGGUGCGAGACAAGAGAUGAAUUGUUUCUAAUGAGUGUGACAAUGAAAUGCUUUAACAAAGAUAUAUCUUUGUUUAUUAGGUUGGACCCUGGUCUGAAUAAAGCCUAGCCAUGGAGGUACCUCAGUCUUGGCAGGUAAGUAGACAAGAUGGUGCUAGUGGUGGGGUAAUUGGUUAGGAUUUAUUUGAGCAUUCUUCUGCCUGAGCAUCCCUGGUGAGAAAAGUCAGCAGUAGGUGGCUUUGGAAGGUGAGUACUUAUCCUUUUAGUGAAGGUGAAGGGAUAGAUUGGUUUCAAUGUGCAUAAGGUGUGUGCUACUUCACCUAGGCAUCUCUUUUAAUCAGAUGGGGAGCUGCUUUUGAAAACCCUCUGUGGAGGCACUUCAGCCUUGGCCGGUGAGUGGGAAUUACCAAUCUCGGUGUUGUAGGAUGGGCUUUGCUUUGGUAGAUAUUUAUUCCCAGAAGCAUUUUAUUCUUCAUGGGUAAGUAGGCAUGCCGGUGCUGGAGGUAGGAUGUGGAGAUAUUGGUUUUGGUGUUAAGAUUGAGUCUCUUUUUUAGGCUAGGCCCUGAUAAGGUCAACUGACCUUUCUAGGUGAAUGUGGAUGUGUGAGAAAAACCCUCUCUGAAAGGGACUAGAGAAUGUGUAAUGAAUAACACUAUAAGUGUUGGUGAGAGACCUAAACAGCUGUGACAAAUAAACAUGUUUUGCUUCUUCAACUCCCUGCACCCCAACUAUUUAUUGUGUGAACGAAAACUUGUACUAUGGAGCUUCAGGUCUUUUACCAAUUGCACCCGUCACAGACACAGAAGGGUUUUAUAGGUUUGACUUUGUUUUGGAAAAUGCCAUGGAGACACCUCAGCUGAGGCUGGUGAGUAGGUCUACAGGUCUCUUAUACAAGUCUGUUGGGGAUAAGUGUGUCAGAGAAGAAAUCAGAUCAUUAGUGGGUGAGUGGGGAUGCACAUGGUAUAGAAUGAUAGCUUUUUGGGGGGAGAAUUCACUGCUUAAUUGUUUUUGUUUUACAGGUUGAACUGUAAUUUGGAACUUGUCUUACCAAGGAGCUAUUUGCUGUUGGUAAUUGCUAGUUCUUGUGGUAGAGGUGAAGGUUACAAGAUCAAUUAUGUUAGUACUACCUAUGGCUGAAGUGGCAGUGCAGCCCUUUCAGGUUGGUUUGGGAGAAGUCCGGGCUAUGGAGGUGUAUUAUGCUUGGUAAAUGACUGGGGUUGCAGGUGCUUGUGGUAGGUGUGCAGGGGAGGAAUAUACCCUUCAGCUUGCAUGCCUAUUUGUUUUUAUAGUUUCCACCACAGUGUCAUAAAAAUCCAUCCAUGCUUUGUUUUACAGGUUUUACCAGAAGUCUGGCUUUGGAGGCACUUUAUCCUUCUCAGGUGCUACUUCAACCUUACAAUAGGUUGGGUCCUGGAGAAACUGGAGCAAGUUGGGCUUUCAAUUGGUUGGGGAAAGUCACGCUGUUGAGGUGCCAGAGCUGUUGCAGAUGAGAGUGAUUCUUGUGGUUAUAGCGGGGGGGGGGGGGGAUUGGAAGUCAAUUGAUAUAUUGGUUUUAAUGUGAAUGAAAAUGCAUUGCUUUAGUCUAAGUUUCCCUUUAUUUUCCAGGUCAGGUCCUGGUACUGAUAGUCCAGCCAAGGAGGCUCUACAGCUUUGGCAAAUAAGUAACUGAUUACUGAGUAGGGGAGCUGGAGUCUCGUUUUUAACAGAAUGGGCCCACAAAUGAGAAAAGUCAGCAGUAGGUGGCUUUGGAAGAUUGAGCCUUGGUUUGGGGAAAGUCCUUCUGCAGAAGCCGCCAUGAG